rnacentral:misc_RNA from 1 species
AAUUUCUGAGACAAAGGUUUUGCAAGUAACUUGUGGUGGAUGGAGGCGCCCUCAUUCUUAUUUUCUUGGUGAUGUACCAGAGAUGAAAAAUUGCCUUGCAUAUGUCAAGGAUGGAGUCAUUUAUGUUCAUAGACACUGGGUGACCACUAAUGAGAGGGUGAUGUAUCCCAAAAAUUUUCAUCUGCAAUUCCAUGGCAGGGAGAUACAUACCAUAUGUUUUAU